AGUGAACAUCUCUCUGACUAAACCAAUAUGGAAGCUUUCGAACGACAAGAGUGUCAGGCUGCGAUAUUUUGUGAAAAGAAACAGCAUGUUGUUGCUGUAUUGUUGCGAUCAUCAUUAUGACUUGUGUUUUACUAUAUCAAGUUUACCUUUUUUAAAUAUUUGCAUGGGACAUGUUGUCAUUUUAGCUUGAUAAAUAAUGCGUCUGAGCGAAGGAAUUGUGUUUAUAUUCCCAAUAGCGAGGCUCUUCUUUCUAACUUGGAUGACGUUAAAUCUCCGUGUAUCAUCAACGUGAAAACAAGCGCAAUAUUUAAGGUUGGUAUACUACAAUGCAUUACAGUUACCUUGUUCUUUAGUCAAAUUAUUAUCCGCUUUGUUGUUUUUAACCUUGUACUGUAAUUUUAUAAAUACACUGUACAAAAUUAAUAUGGCGUAAUAUUUGUGUUUAUAAAUGGCUCUAGUUUGACUCUAUUGUCUGUGUACUGUGUCACUGUGAUACAUAUGUACAUGCUUUGAGUUAAACAAAUUGUUUAAUAAAUUUUUGCUGAAGUAUGAUGCCUGUUUGUAUCUAGUUGUGGAUAGAUUUUUACAUAUAUGUGCAUACAAUAGUGAUAUUUUUCAAUUUUCAUCUGUAAAAUAUUGCCAUAUUUGUGUGUUGUUCUAUAAAUAUUACUGUAAAUAGUGACACACUUUUGCAUUAGAUUUCUAAUUUUAGAGAUUACAGUCUAUGUACAAAAUAAUAAAAUAAAAAUUUUCUUGUUAUGAUUUUGUAGAAAGAGAUCUACUUGAGUGGUUGGCUGGUCUUGAAUCUGGUCAGCAUGGAUAUGGUAAUAAAGGUGAUAGGGCAGAAAGUGGUGACCAGUUAAGUGAUGAGGAUGAAAGUGACGAGGACGAAAUCACCCAUGCUGUACCAUUCAAGUGCAUUGGUGCUGCUCAUGAGAAAAAUUACCAACAUCAACAGCAUACCUUGUCCUUCAUGGACAAGAUAAACCAGUGAAUGUAAGAAUACGGCCAGAGAAUCCUGGAAUGGACCCAAGUGCAAUUGCAAUUGAUGUAGACUAUGGAACUGGAUGGACACACAUUGGUUAUCUUGCUUCUCAACUAUGCAAGUAUUUGCACCGACUAAUUGCCACAGGAGAUAUCUUAGAGGUCUAUGUUCAGCAUAUCAAGUAUAGGGUUGACUUUUUUAAAAUAGGAUUUUAUCAAAAAAUUUUCAUAAAGCGAUGUGGUGAGUGGGAGACUCAAGUGGUAAGGAAGAGCAUGAGUGUACGUUGACAGAUGUUUGUGAUAUAAUUGUAACUGACUAGGUUUAGCAAGUUAUAGAAAUGAUCUUAUUUCAAUUAG
rnacentral:lncRNA from 1 species